GAGAGUUUUCAUAACUUAGGAUUUCAAUUGAUUGAGUUCAUAGAAGUAACUAGGCUUCAUAUCCUAAUUGGUUCUUGUUGUUCCAACAAUUGUAGGUCUAACUUUUAUUUUAAUAGCUUAGGAUUACAAUUGAUUGAGUUCAUAGAGUUAAUUAGGCUUGUUCUCUUAAUCAAUUGUAGGUCUAGCUCUUAUUUUUGAUUCCGCGUGUUUUGCUAUAUCUGUGUUUUAGUUCAUAGUUCCUAUGAGGUCAAGGAUUUGUGUAUUUAUCAUCAAAACAGAAAAUCACAAAAAUAAAAAUAAAAAUGUACCGUGCUAUGUUUUGUUUCCAGAAUUAGAAUUUCGCUACUGUUCCUAAUUGCUACUGUUCGAAAAUACCUUCCAAAAUUCUGAAAACUUCUAAAGAUCGAGUAUCGAUCGAUUCGUAACUACUGGUUUGAGUUUGGAUUGAAGCUGGGUUUGAGCUUCUGAACCCUAAGACGACGAACAGCAGAAGCGAAAUUGGGGGUUUUGCUCCGGUUCCGAGAUUUGAGUUUGUGAAUCUAGUUAGAAACAUCAUUUUGAAGCUGAAUCGGAAGGAUUAGCUCGAUUUGAACUGAUUUGCUAGUUUUUGGUUCGAAAUUUUGAGCUGAUUGUGCGAAGAAGAAGACGACCUAGGGUUCGUCGAUUUCGUGAGUGUUUAUUCAAAUUAGUCACUGGGGUUCAUCCCUACACCUGUUGGGAAGUUCUAUUCGAAGUUCUAGCUUGAUUGGAACUUAUUUGAUGCGAUUUUGGUCGGAAAUUUUUCAAAGCUCGACGAACGCGAAGAACAGCUUCAAACGUCUGGGAUUGAGUUUGAAGCUGCGUAGCCUAUGCAUCGUCCUCGACACGUAACCAAUUCCAGAAGCAUCAGGUUUGAUUCUUCUAAGUCGAAAAUUAGAGUUAUGUGCUGAAAAUAUUGGAGAGAGUUUUCUGAACAUCGACUCGAUCUUUCUUAGUUGAUUGAUUUAAAUCAGUGAAGUCGACUCACGUCACUUAUUGCUGAAUAACUGAUUGGUACUGUCCGUUUGGAGCUUGAGUGCUUGAAUCAAAAACUAAAAAUUCAAUUUUCGUUCUUGUUGCUAUUGAAUUUUGAUCGAGAACUUGUCGUCAAGUUUUUGAGUUGAAUUUGAUAGUGUCAACUACUGCACUGAUACUAGUUAUUGAUAGUUUGAAUCGAAUCGGGUGAAUAGCUACUGUUGGUUGAAAUAAUGAUCGCAUAUGGUUCUGAAAUUUUAAGAGGCAGCUUGGUGAUUUCUUGGCUACAUUUUUGGUAGCUCAACUUCUUUUGUUUGUUGCUGCAAAUUUUUGCCCAGAAUUGUUUCCAGAAUUGGUAUCAGUUUAGUCUGUAUUGUUGAACUCUUAGAUUGGACAGCUUUGCUUAAUUCUGUACUUCAUUGCUGCACCUAUAUUUUGAGAAACUCUGCAUAGUUUAGAAAUGCAGGCUAAGUGAAAUUGUUCACUGCUGUUGCUUCUGAGAUUUUGUGUGUGAGUUUGGAGUUGGAUUGUGUGUGAAGGACUGUUAUAGAAGGUCAGUAAGAUUUGGAAAAAAACUUGCAGCUUGUUGAGGGUAUUCUCACUAGAACUUCACUGAAGCACCAGUGCAGAAUAUACUGCACAAGUUUGAGGGCAAAAGACACGACUUGCUGCUGUUCAUUUGAUUGAAAUAAAGUGCUUGGUUUUAUAUUUGUGUUUGCUUCUGAAGUUUGGGGGUCACCAGUGAAGUUCUCAAUUGAGAACCUGUUAGCACAAGGGGUGAUUUGUGACAUUUUUAGUUCUCAAUAGUUACAGGUUCUGCAUAGUUUAAAUCUUGCACUGGUUUAGCUCAUUUCUGAAGAGCCUCAAGGCAUUUAAAGCUGAUAUAGUUUAUGUUCUUGACUGUACCUUUGCUGCUGUAAUUUCUGCUGCUGAGGUAUUAAACCUGCAAUUGUGGAUGCUACAACUGACUGUUUGCUUGAUUAAGUUGCAUUGUGAAGUGUCUAGGUAGUUGGGAAUUGAGGCUGCAGUCAGUUUUCCUAGUCUGUUGAGAAUUGAAUUAGAAAAUCUGACAAUCAGAGGACUGUAAAAUCUGCAGUAUUGUUGCACCAGUUUUCAGUUUCACCUAAUUUUGAGCAUUUUAGUUUGAGUUCAGCUGGUUAUUUGAAGAAAUGCAGAAACUGAGUUAGAAAUUGUAUCUUAGUUGUUUGUUGCCGAACAGUCUGCAAUUACUGCAUAGUUGCUGUAGUUCAAGUGAAGCAGAAAGUUGUUGAACCUCAUUACUUUGCAUCUGUUGGAUAGUUUAAUGAAACUGCAGCUGCAUUGAAAGGUUUCUGUUUUGGAAAGGCUGUAGUGCAUAAAAUUUCUGGGAGUAUCCUUUGUAUAUCUCAAAGCUGUGCUUGAGUUCAGCUUGUGAUAGCUGAAAUUUGCUCGUUUCUGAUAUGUUCCCUUGCUGAAUUGAGUGCUCUUGUUGCAUAAGCUACUGUCAAGUUUUACAGCCUCCUGAUAGUACUUGAAGGAAAGGGAAUCCUGGGAAAUUAGUACAGUUGUGAGUAACUUUUAUCAGAAAAGUUGGUGGUUUUGAGUUGAAGUUGUGCUCCUGUUCUGCUGCAAAUUUUCUGUAUAGUUUGAGUGCAAUUUCUGCACUGUUUUGGGCAUCAGUUCAGCAGAAUUUGAGCAGCUAUUUCACAGUAAAGUCCUGCAAAUUUAACAGCUGAAGUCUGCAGUAUUUUACAGCUGAUUCUGCAGCAGUUUUGCAGAAAUUUUCCACUCAGCUAACUAUCAGUUGGGACCAACAUUUGAGCUUGCUAUUGAAACCACCUUUGCACCAGUUUCACACCUGCUUUGCACCAGUUUUGCAUCAGUUUUGGACAACUAUUGGGGCUGCUGAUUUCUGUUGUUUGGACUAAACAUCAGAUUUUCUUGAACAAUUUUGAGCAGUCACAUACACAGUUUGGAAGCUGUUUUUGGCUGGCAAGGGUUCUGCAAUUGCUAGAAGUCCAGAGAGUCAAAGGUUCAGAAGAUCAGAAGUUUCUUCUGUCCGGUUUUCUGUCCAAUUUUCCUGUCCAGUCGUUAAUCUUUUUCUUUCUUUUUUUCUUCUUGUUUGUUAAUUCUAAACUAGUGUAAACUUGAUAUUAGUUCAUAUUAAGUUUUAUCCUAGUUCUUUGUGUGCUUAAUUUUGUUUCAUGCCAAUUGUUUCAUGCUUUUAUCUUUUAAUUUCGUUGUGAAUUGCUUGGCUCAAGUCUGUUUGCUUUUAAUUGUCCGUCCUUGUGAAUACACAACUUCCACUCCACCCCGAAGACAGUUGGAACUUGUUGUGAACCCUUAGGACUUAAGUUUGCUAGCAAUUUUGACAUUCACUACUUGAGCGGAAAAAGGCAAGAGUGAAUAGGACUUUGAGCACGCAAAAGCCAAUUGAUGCAAAGUGUGAUACACGAGGGUUGAGCGACAUCGAGUGAGCUUGGUGAGGACUUUACUACUAAUUUGUUUGCUCGUUUUGUAGGUAUCAUGGAGUACAGACAAACUUUUAGUCCUAAUUGUGAUCCAAGGAGUGAGACUACGAUGCAUGAAGUUGUAUAUAUGCUUUAUGACAUAAGUGAGAAGGUUACCAACAUAAGUGAGAAAGUUACCAAUAUUACCAUAUGGCAAUACCAAAUGGAUGCAAGGUUGAAUUCCGUGAUAGAGGAAUCUCACUUAAGACAACAAGGAAGGGAGCGUAGUAUGACGCUUACUAAUUCCUCUGCUACACCCUCUCCUUCACAAGUGCGGCAAAUGCUUCAAAGCGAAAAUUUGCAACACAACCAACCUAACCAAAGACCAUAAAACUUACCAAGGCAACCACAAUAACCAAAAGGACCUUAUUUUCCUCCACCAAACUACCGACCACCUACCUACUACCAACACCAACUACAACCCCAAACCACACAUCAACCACCACUAGUACCUCAAGUACAACCUUAUCAAACUUCACCACUACCUAGACCAUAAGUAAUUAGUCAAGAGCCUCAGAAGAUGAACAACCCACUUUUUCAACAUGAUCAAGAGGACACCUUGAAUGAGUUGGACAACAUCCAACAAGUUUUCAAUGACACAUAUAGAGGGGAUGAAGUGAACCAAAGGGGAAGAGGCCAAAUGAGUUUGAGACCAUCCUUGAAAAAUGUAAAGAGAAAGAGUAAGGAUGAGAGACAAAAGAUAGUGAGAAGUGAGGGAGAGAAAAGUGACAACUCUAGAGUGGAAAAAUGAGAGAAAGUGUGGAGUGAAGUGAGUGAGUUGUCACAAGAAAAGAGUGAAGAGCUUGAAAAGAAAAUGAGAGAAAAGAAAGAGGGAAAACAAAUAGAGAGUGAGGAUUUUCGUUAUUCUAAUGCUAAUAACCUUUCUUCUUUCUCUAGUUGUUUUGUAUCUUGUGAAUGAACUUUUGGAGAUGAGCCAUCAAGUGAAGUUCAAUCUACUUUGAUGAACUUGGAAGAAGAUCAAGCUACCUUUUCAAGAGAACUUUUGAAAUUCAAUGAGCAAGUUCAAGAACAUUCUCCAUGGAUUUUGCUAAUGCUUAUAUGAGAAAAGGUAAGAAUGUUUCUUUUGGUGUUUUGAGUGAUCAUUUUGAGCCAAAACAAAACCUAACUUUAUUGAUUAUUUUGUGAAGGUUCAACAAGAGAAAAUUGCUAAGGGUAAGAAAUGCCUUGAACUAACACUUUGGCAUACUUUUUGUAAAGAGCUUUUUCUUUUGCCCAAAAGCAAGAAUGGUAUGUACGUUUGGCUUAUGCUUAUCUUGUGUUUAUCUUAGGCCAUUGAGGUAAAGAUUCUUAACUUUGAGUAUUGUGAUAUUCUUUGUAUGAUGAUUCAUGAUGAGUUUGGCGUAUCUCUUAAGUUGUCAUGUGAAGUUGUUGGAAAGUGUAGAUAUUUGGGGAUUAAAAAUUGUGUUUGACCCUGGAGUUGCUUCUUAUCAUGGUGAAGUGUCUCUCUUUGGAUUGGAGAGUAUGAUUUUUAUUGCUUCUUAUGACACUUGGUUAUACCAUAAAAGUGUGCACUUUGUUGAGGAUUUUACAACAUUGUGGUUUUGUUGGAAGCAUGAAACUCUAGACUCUUGAUUCUUCUCAUGAGUAUUAUUUUUCUUAUAGUCAAGUUUGUGUCAUUUGUGUUGGAGAUGUGUUCUUUAUAGAUUAUGACACUUGGCUAUAUCAUAAGAGUGUCACUUUUGAAUGCAAGAUUGUAAUAUUUGAUCUUUUAGCUUAGACAUACAAUGCUUUGAUUGUGAUUGGCUUGGUACUUAUGUUUGCUCCUUUCUUGGUUCUGCAAGGUCCAAAUUCGAGGAUGAAUUUCUUUUAAAGGGGGGAGGAUGAUACAUGUCAGAUGGGCAUGCCUAAGGAUUUCCAAAUCAACAUCAUAACAUUGGAGUGCUUUAAAGGAGUCAAGAUCAAGAAGGCUAUACUUGUAAUAAUUGACUACUCCUAGCUUCUUAGAAUUAGCUUAGGGGUAUUUGGGCCAUUUGGAGCCAAAUACCUACUCUAGUAUAAAUAGCCCUUAAGGCUUUUAUUUUAUGUAGACUUGAUGAAUGAUAAACUUGAAGACAUGCAAGUCUCAUACUUUAUCAUUA